GACAACUAUAUGCCAUAUCAAAGGUUUUGGCAACCUAUAUAUCAACAAACCAGCAAGUUCCCAGUUAUUUAUAUUCUCUGAGUGGUUUCAAGUCUCUUAAUUACAAGUUUGAUUGAGUGAGCUUAUAAAAAUUGCAGAAUAUAUGCACUUCGAUUGUCACUUGAUCUUAUCAUGGUAAUUUUGCCUUGUUCUACACAAAUAUGCGAAUGAAGUCGUUUCACUGGAUCUUGGUUUAUUGGUUAGAUGUGGAGCAUGUGGAUGAU
rnacentral:misc_RNA from 1 species